GCCCCUGGGCUGGCCAGGGGCAGCCUUUCCCGAAGCCUGGAGCUUCCGCCCCCGUGUGCGGCGCGGGGCCUUCUGGGCGAACGCUGGGGCAGCAGGGCCAGCAUCCCCCACCCGGGAGCCAGCGGCCGGCCCCACUCGGGAGCUCCAGCCAGGCCGGGGGAGGGGGCGGGGCGCAGCUCACCGUGACCGUCGGCGCCCCGAGGGUGGCGCGUCUGGCGCGUCUGCUCUCCCUGGGAGCCGUCCGGCGAGCAGGAGCUGGAGGUGCCCAGAGCUAAAAGUGAAACUGCAACCUGACGCAGGGCCCGCCCAGGACGCCCUCCCGGAACCGUCCCGGAGAGCCCGCCCCGGCCCCCUUCCUGCCCCCUCUUCCCGCCAGCCCGCCUGGAGCACCAGCCUCGCGCGUCCGGAGGAACCUUGGCUUGGCGCCCCAUCCUGGUAGCCUCAAACUUCAUAGCACUUUGUGGUUUUUCUUAAAACUCUGAGCCUGUGCCCGGGCGGAUCACCUGAGGUCGGGAGUUCAAGACCAGACUGACCAACAUGGUGAAACCCCGUCUCUACUAAAAAUACAAAAUUAGCCCGGCGUGGUGGCGCAUGCCUGUGAUCCCAGCUACCUGGGAGGCUGAGGCAAGAGAAUCGCUUGAACCUGGGAGGUGUAGGUUGCAGUGAGCCGAGAUCAUGCCAUUGUACUCCAGCCUGGGCGACAGAGUGAGACUCCGUCUCAAAAACAAACAAGCAAACAAACAACUUUGGGCCUGUGCCGAAGGGUCUGGGCAGAUCUUCCAAAGAUGUACAAAAUGUAGAAAUUGCCCUCAAGCAAAUGCAAAGAUGCUCAACACCCUUAGUCAUCAAGGAAAUGCAAAUGGAAUCCACAGAGAGAUACUGCACACUGACAAAGAUGGUCGUAUUACUAAAGGUGAAUAACCAGCGCGGGGGGCACGUGGAGUCACUGGAACAUUUGUGCAAUGCUGGUGGGAAUGUCAACCCGUGCGGCCCUCUGGAAUAAGCCUGGCAGCUCCUCCAAGAGUUACCGUGUGACCCAGCAAUUCCACUCCUAGCUCCACCCACAGGAAUUGAAAGCAAAGACGCAAACAGAUGCCUGUGCACCAAAGUUCACGGCAGCAUCCUUCGCCAUAGUGGCAGCAUCCGUCGUCACAGCGGCAUCAUCCUUCAUCAUAGCGGCAGCAUCCGUCGUCACAGCGGCAGCAUCCUUCGCCACAGCGGCAGCAGCUGUCGUCACAGCGGCAUCAUCCUUCGCCAUAGCGGCAGCAUCCUUCGCCAAAGCGGCAGCAUCCUUCACCAUAGCGGCAGCAUCCUUCGCCAUAGCGGCAGCAUCCUUCGCCAUAGCGGCAAGGUGGAAACCCUGUCCAUCCACUGAGGCGUGCAUAGACUAAACAUGGCCAGUCCAGGCACUGGAAUCCAGGCCGUAGAACGGCGCCCACGGUCAAAAGGAAUGAGACCCUGAUGCACUGGGCGACACAGACGGGCGACACAGACUUGGAGACAUCAUGCUAAGUGAAAAGCCAGGCACACGGAGCGGACGGCGUGAUCCUGCUCACGUGAUGUGUCCCGAAUGGGCACGUCCAGAGGGAAGAAGGGAGAUGGCGCUGCCGGUGCCCGGGACGGGGGUUGGGAGCGACGGUUGCUGGUUUGGGGUUUCUUUCUGGGGUGAGGAAGUGUUUUGAUAUUGGCCGUUGGUGAUGUUUGCAUACCUCUGAAUAUGCUAAGACCCACAGAAUUGCACACUUUAAAUGGAUGAAUUGUAUGGUAUGGGAAUUACACAAUUAUGUCUCAUUAAAGCAGUUAUUUUAAAAAUCUAGUGCCCAGUAGCAACA
rnacentral:lncRNA from 1 species